rnacentral:rRNA from 1 species
AUUGAACGCUGGCGGUAGGCCUAACACAUGCAAGUCGAACGGUAACAGGAAGCAGCUUGCUGCUUUGCUGACGAGUGGCGGACGGGUGAGUAAUGUCUGGGAAACUGCCUGAUGGAGGGGGAUAACUACUGGAAACGGUAGCUAAUACCGCAUAACGUCGCAAGACCAAAGAGGGGGACCUUAGGGCCUCUUGCCAUCGGAUGUGCCCAGAUGGGAUUAGCUAGUAGGUGGGGUAACGGCUCACCUAGGCGACGAUCCCUAGCUGGUCUGAGAGGAUGACCAGCCACACUGGAACUGAGACACGGUCCAGACUCCUACGGGAGGCAGCAGUGGGGAAUAUUGCACAAUGGGCGCAAGCCUGAUGCAGCCAUGCCGCGUGUAUGAAGAAGGCCUUCGGGUUGUAAAGUACUUUCAGCGGGGAGGAAGGGAUUAAAGUUAAUACCUUUGCUCAUUGACGUUACCCGCAGAAGAAGCACCGGCUAACUCCGUG